GACGAACGCUGGCGGCGUGCUUAACACAUGCAAGUCGAACGGAAAGGCCCUGCUUGCAGGGUACUCGAGUGGCGAACGGGUGAGUAACACGUGGGUGAUCUGCCCUGCACUUCGGGAUAAGCCAGGGAAACUGGGUCUAAUACCGGAUAGGAGCCAUUUUUAGUGUGAUGGUUGGAAAGUUUUUUCGGUGUAGGAUGAGCUCGCGGCCUAUCAGCUUGUUGGUGGGGUAAUGGCCUACCAAGGCGGCGACGGGUAGCCGGCCUGAGAGGGUGGACGGCCACAUUGGGACUGAGAUACGGCCCAGACUCCGACGGGAGGCAGCAGUGGGGAAUAUUGCACAAGGGGCGCAAGCCUGAUGCAGCGACGCCGCGUGGGGGAUGACGGCCUUCGGGUUGUAAACUCCUUUCGCUAGGGACGAAGCUUGUUGUGACGGUACCUAGAUAAGAAGCACCGGCUAACUACGUG
rnacentral:rRNA from 1 species